rnacentral:tRNA from 1 species
CAAAAAAUAGUUUAAUAUAAAAUAAUAACUUUGGGAGUUAUUGAUCGGUUGCUCCGUUUUUUGA